UUUAAAGAGAGUUUGAUCCUGGCUCAGGACGAACGCUGGCGGCGUGCCUAAUACAUGCAAGUCGAACGAACGGAGGAAGAGCUUGCUCUUCCAAAGUUAGUGGCGGACGGGUGAGUAACACGUGGGCAACCUGCCUGUAAGUUGGGGAUAACUCCGGGAAACCGGGGCUAAUACCGAAUGAUAAAGUGUGGCGCAUGCCACGCUUUUGAAAGAUGGUUUCGGCUAUCGCUUACAGAUGGGCCCGCGGUGCA
rnacentral:rRNA from 1 species